rnacentral:rRNA from 1 species
CAUGCAAGUCGAACGGAGCUGUUUUCUCUGAAGUUUUCGGAUGGAAGAGAGUUCAGCUUAGUGGCGAACGGGUGAGUAACACGUGAGCAACCUGCCUUUCAGUGGGGGACAACAUUUGGAAACGAAUGCUAAUACCGCAUAAGACCACAGUGUCGCAUGGCACAGGGGUCAAAGGAUUUAUCCGCUGAAAGAUGGGCUCGCGUCCGAUUAGCUAGAUGGUGAGGUAACGGCCCACCAUGGCGACGAUCGGUAGCCGGACUGAGAGGUUGAACGGCCACAUUGGGACUGAGACACGGCCCAGACUCCUACGGGAGGCAGCAGUGGGGAAUAUUGCACAAUGGGGGAAACCCUGAUGCAGCGACGCCGCGUGGAGGAAGAAGGUCUUCGGAUUGUAAACUCCUGUCCCAGGGGACGAUAAUGACGGUACCCUGGGAGGAAGCACCGGCUAACUACGUGCCAGCAGCCGCGGUAAAACGUAGGGUGCAAGCGUUGUCCGGAAUUACUGGGUGUAAAGGGAGCGCAGGCGGAUUGGCAAGUUGGGAGUGAAAUCUAUGGGCUCAACCCAUAAAUUGCUUUCAAAACUGUCAGUCUUGAGUGGUGUAGAGGUAGGCGGAAUUCCCGGUGUAGCGGUGGAAUGCGUAGAUAUCGGGAGGAACACCAGUGGCGAAGGCGGCCUACUGGGCACUAACUGACGCUGAGGCUCGAAAGCAUGGGUAGCAAACAGGAUUAGAUACCCUGGUAGUCCAUGCCGUAAACGAUGAUUACUAGGUGUGGGAGGAUUGACCCCUUCCGUGCCGCAGUUA